CGGCUUCAGCAGAUUUGGUGAUAUUCCUUCAACGCUGUAUCACCUCGAGCUUGUCCGCUGUUACUUCCUCUAUUUCCUCCAACGCCAACGACAAGGAUUUGACCAUUGAGGUUUUAUUGGCUGUACCCGUGUCAAAAGUCCGGGGCGGGGGGCGAAGAGAGACCAUAAUAAUGAUUCAUUUCGAUCAACAAGCGCCCCAAAACAAAGAAUCAAUGGAUUUACUAGUGAUUUGUUAUUUUGAUGUGCUUAGUUCGAUUUCCUUUUCAAUCUUACUCUAAAUUAUUGAUAAUUCCUAAACCAAGUGGUCCUUAUGGGUAAAAAAAUUUUAUUUAAUAGUCUGGCUUUGCUUAACUUCCCAAACCUGUAGCUGAUCAUUCGGUUGAGGCACUUUCCAAGAUGCUUUCAUUAGCAGUAGUUGAAUAUCUUGUAAAUGAAAACUUAGGCUUGUGCUAUAUUGAGAGGUUAUCUUUUAUUCCUCUGCUAUUCGUUUUUCUUUUUUUUUAUCCAUAUGUCCUGAAGCACCAGAUUUCAGGUUUUGUUGCUUUUGUAUGAUGUCAAUAUCAAUACUGUCAUAUAUCUCUCGUUUGAUUGAGUCUUAAUCUUUAGGGUUUGGAAUUAUUGUCCUGAUGGAUUUGAUGGAAUCCUUUCUUCUGUUAUAUUUUCUUUCAUUUUGAUAAUGGCUAUCGGGUUCAUUAAUUUUGCGGGUUUCAAGGUAUGCUAUAAUAUUUCGCUCCAUUGGCUUAAUGUUCUCGGUUUGCUCUAGAUCAUUGCACAUACGGCAUUGCACAUGCUAUGCUAAUUUUUUUUUUUUUUGGUUUCAAUCAGCAUGUUAAAUUUGUUAUGAUUUAAACUUUUUUUAUAUUGAGCUUAGGUUAUUUUGUUCAAUUCAUUGCAUCUCUAGCUUCUUGAAUUUUAAUUAGUUGAUCAUAUUUAUGGUUCUGUAUUAUUUCUGUUAGAAUGGGAUGAUCUUACUAUGGCUGAAGGCUUAAUUGGGUAAUUGGAGUUUUAUGACGCCAAGAAUGGGUUCAAAACAAUGAAAGAUACAAGAUGGUUUGUCAUUAGACUUGUGUGCAUCUCUGAUGAUCUGCUAUGAAGCUCAUGCUUUUUUGAAGAUGGCAUGAUUGUUGGAGAUCAUAAAGGAACCCAAACUAGUCUUAUUUAGAUCUGAAUUCUUCUAGUUACAAUUUUGAGUAGAAUUUUGUUAUGAAUUCUUCUCUACUGUGCCACUAAAUUUUGUUAGAAUUUAUUUGCCAAGAAUCUCGAUUUUUAGCUUCGCAUGAUUCUUGAAGUCGUGAUAAUUUUGAUAAUUGUGCACACUUAAAUCACAUUGUAGUUACUGGAGAUUGACUUUGCUUUUGCCCAGAAUUGUGUGAAAUUAUUUUGCUUGACAUUCAACAUCAUUUGAAAGCAUGAGGCAAUAAAAAAAAAAUUCAUUACUACUUUAAUUAUAACACAAGCAUCUUAAUCCAUGGAAAAGAAACACGUGUGGAGUUUGAAAGUUAUGGAAACUAAUUAUUACUACUUUGACUGUAGACUAAACAAACAAUGAAAGAAUUAAUCUGUGAUGGGGGGAUGCAUUUUUUCUUUGCCAUGUUGCAUAAAUUGAAAACAGUCUUAAAUCUUCCUUCCUUUAUUGUUUUAGGCUGCUUGGAUUGCUAUAAGCUAAUAACUGAUGGGCCUAUCUGUUGGUGUGAGCUCAUUGACUUGCGGUUCUAAUCACUCAUCUAGAUGAUAGCCCAUUGACUCUUUCUUUUCUCUCUUUUUUACUUUUCUCCCUUUUUUGUUGUUUGGAGCUUAACUUUAAACUAUGCGUAGGUAUCAAUUCAUUACUUCAAGUGUGUUCAACUCAAGAGCAUUGAUUAUAUCAAUCAUAUUCUGCAAUUGAAGUCAAGUGAGCUUGGGGUAUCUUGUCCAAAUUUGCUGUGAUUUUUUUUUUUUAAUGAACCUUGAUUGCCUUGUGAUGAAUUAGUUGUUGUGAUCACACCCAAUGCCUAUGGAACUAAUGAACUAAAUAUAUUCUGAGCUAACUUCACCAGGGCUUAAAAAAAGAAAUUGGAAGAGGCUGGUGCAAAUAAUUUUAGUUUUGUUAUUGUUGAAUUUUUCAAUUGAAUUGUUGCUUAUUUUAUUUUCCUGAUGGAUUUAAAUUUGCUUAUUUCUCAAUUUGCAGAUUUUUUUAUAAUGAGGACUCCUACACCAUUAAAAAGAUUGAUUUUUUUGGAGACCUUCUGACGCAAGUUCUUCAAGUGUUGCAGUCUUAGAGUGAUAGAUGACGUCCAGAGCUUUUAUGUUUUUUUAGCUUAGAAUGUUUAGAUCAUAAAGUUGCUUGUAUUGUUCUAAUGGUUAGCUUUAGAAGCAUUAGCUUUUAGGGUUGUAGUUUAGAAUAGUUGUGGACUUGACUAUUUGUUUAUGAAAUGAUGAUCUUCAAUUUAAAUUCUGUUACUGACUUUUGGUUUGUUGAAAUACUAUUGCCUAUCAUUGUAUGUUAAA